GAUGAACGCAGCGGCAGGCCUAACACAUGCAAGUCGAGGGGUAACAGGAAAGCUUGCUUUCGCUGACGACCGGCGCACGGGUGCGUAACGCGUAUGCAACUUGCCCUCAACUGGGAGAUAGCCCGGAGAAAUUCGGAUUAAUGCCCCAUAGUAUCACAUCACCGCAUGAUGAUGUGCUUAAAGCUUCGGCGGUUGAGGAUGGGCAUGCGUCCUAUUAGCUUGUUGGUGAGGUAACGGCUCACCAAGGCUGCGAUAGGUAGGGGCCUGAGAGGGUAAUCCCCACACUGGUACUGAGACACGGACCAGACUCCUACGGGAGGCAGCAGUGAGGAAUAUUGGUCAAUGGACGAAAGUCUGAACCAGCCAUGCCGCGUGCAGGAUGACGGCCCUACGGGUUGUAAACUGCUUUUAUAAGGGAACUAAACCCCCGACGUGUCGGGGGCUGAAGGUACCUUACGAAUAAGGAUCGGCUAACUCCGUG
rnacentral:rRNA from 1 species